rnacentral:rRNA from 1 species
GACGAACGCUGGCGGCGUGCCUAACACAUGCAAGUCGAACGGAAAGGCCCUGCUUUCGUGGGGUGCCCGAGGGGCGAACGGGGGAGUAACACGUGAGUAACCUGCCCUUGUCUUUGGGAUAACUUCAGGAAACUGGGGCUAAUACCGGAUAGGAGCCCCUGCUGCAUGGAGGGGGUUGGAAAGUUUCGGCGGGCGGGGAUGGAUUCGCGGCUUAUCAGCUUGCUGGUGGGGUAGUGGCUUACCAAGGCUGUGACGGGUAGCCGGCCUGGGAGGGUGACCGGCCACAUUGGGCCUGCGAUACGGCCCAGACUCCAACGGGAGGCAGCGGUGGGGAAUAUUGCACAAUGGGCGGACGCCUGAUGCGGCAGCGCCGCGUGCGGGAUGACGGCCUUCGGGUUGUGAACCGCUUUCGCCUGUGACGAAGCGUUAGUGACGGUAAUGGGUGAAGAAGCACCGGCUAACUACGUG